AUUGAACGCUGGCGGCAGGCCUAACACAUGCAAGUCGAGCGAGCGGCGGACGGGUGAGUAAUGUAUGGGGACUGCCUGAUGGCGGGGGAUAAAUACUGGAAACGGUAGCAAAUAGAGAAUACCAUGAGAUAACACAUAUGGGCUUAGCUAGUUGGUGGGGUAACGGCUUACCUAGGCGACGCUCCCUAGCUGGUCUGAGAGGAUGAUCAGCCACACUGGGACUUAGACACGGCCCAGACUCCUACGGAGGCAGCAGUGGGGAAUAUUGCACAAUGGGCGCAAGCCUGAUGCAGCCAUGCCGCGUGUAUGAAGAAGGCCUUCGGGUUGUAAAGUACUUUCAGCCGGGAGGCGUUACCGACAGAAGAAGCACCGGCUAACUCCGUGCCAGCAGCCGCGGUAAUUC
rnacentral:rRNA from 1 species